rnacentral:rRNA from 1 species
AUUGAACGCUGGCGGCAUGCCUUACACAUGCAAGUCGAACGGUAACAGGUCUUCGGAUGCUGGCGAGUGGCGAACGGGUGAGUAAUACAUCGGAACGUGCCCAGACGUGGGGGAUAACGAGGCGAAAGCUUUGCUAAUACCGCAUACGAUCUAAGGAUGAAAGCAGGGGACCGCAAGGACUCGCGCGUUUGGAGCGGCCGAUGGCAGAUUAGGUAGUUGGUGGGAUAAAAGCUUACCAAGCCGACGAUCUGUAGCUGGUCUGAGAGGACGACCAGCCACACUGGGACUGAGACACGGCCCAGACUCCUACGGGAGGCAGCAGUGGGGAAUUUUGGACAAUGGGCGAAAGCCUGAUCCAGCAAUGCCGCGUGCAGGAUGAAGGCCUUCGGGUUGUAAACUGCUUUUGUACGGAACGAAAAGGCUCUGGCUAAUACCUGGGGCACAUGACGGUACCGUAAGAAUAAGCACCGGCUAACUACGUG